AGGGCGCACGGUGGAUGCCUUGGCACUAGGAGCCGACGAAGGACGUGACAAACGACGAUAUGCCUUGGGUAGCUGUAAGUAAGCGAUGAUCCAGGGAUUUCCGAAUGGGGGAACCCAACAGGUAAUACCUGUUACCUACAUCUGUUAAGGAUGUGAGGAGGAAGACGCAGUGAACUGAAACAUCUAAGUAGCUGCAGGAAGAGAAAGCAAAAGCGAUUGCCUUAGUAGCGGCGAGCGAAACGGCAGAAGGGCAAACCGAAGAGUUUACUCUUCGGGGUUGUAGGACUGCAAUGUGGACUCAAAGAUUAUAGAAGAAUGAUUUGGGAAGAUCAGCCAAAGAGAGUAAUAGCCUCGUAUUUAAAAUAGUCUUUGUACUUAGCAGUAUCCUGAGUACGGCGGGACACGUGAAAUCCCGUCGGAAUCUGGGAGGACCAUCUCCCAACCCUAAAUACUCCCUAGUGACCGAUAGUGAACCAGUACCGUGAGGGAAAGGUGAAAAGCACCCCGGGAGGGGAGUGAAAUAGAACCUGAAACCGUGUGCCUACAACAAGUUCGAGCCCGUUAAUGGGUGAGAGCGUGCCUUUUGUAGAAUGAACCGGCGAGUUACGUUAUGAUGCGAGGUUAAGUUGAAGAGACGGAGCCGUAGGGAAACCGAGUCUGAAUAGGGCGCCUUAGUAUCAUGACGUAGACCCGAAACCAUGUGACCUACCCAUGAGCAGGUUGAAGGUGCGGUAAGACGCACUGGAGGACCGAACCAGGGCACGUUGAAAAGUGCUUGGAUGACUUGUGGGUAGCGGAGAAAUUCCAAACGAACUUGGAGAUAGCUGGUUCUCUCCGAAAUAGCUUUAGGGCUAGCGUCGACAUUAGAGAUUCUUGGAGGUAGAGCACUGUUUGGGUGAGGGGUCCAUCCCGGAUUACCAAUCUCAGAUAAACUCCGAAUGCCAAUGAAUUAUGGUCGGCAGUCAGACUGCGAGUGCUAAGAUCCGUAGUCGAAAGGGAAACAGCCCAGACCACCAGCUAAGGUCCCAAAAUAAUUGUUAAGUGGAAAAGGAUGUGGGGUUGCACAGACAACUAGGAUGUUAGCUUAGAAGCAGCUAUUCAUUCAAAGAGUGCGUAAUAGCUCACUAGUCGAGUGACCCUGCGCCGAAAAUGUACCGGGGCUAAAACAAUUUACCGAAGCUGUGGAUACCUUUAUAGGUAUGGUAGGAGAGCGUUCUAUGUGUGAUGAAGGUAUACCGUGAGGAGUGCUGGAACGCAUAGAAGUGAGAAUGCCGGUAUGAGUAGCGAAAGACAGGUGAGAAUCCUGUCCACCGUAAGACUAAGGUUUCCAGGGGAAGGCUCGUCCGCCCUGGGUUAGUCGGGACCUAAGGAGAGACCGAAAGGUGUAUCCGAUGGACAACAGGUUGAUAUUCCUGUACUAGAGUAUGUAGUGAUGGAGGGACGCAGUAGGCUAACUAAAGCAGACGAUUGGAAGAGUCUGUCUAAGCAGUGAGGUGUGAAUUGAGUCAAAUGCUUAAUUCUAUAACAUUGAGCUGUGAUGGGGAGCGAAGUUUAGUAGCGAAGUUAGUGACGUCACACUGCCAAGAAAAGCUUCUAGCGUUUAAACAUACUCUACCCGUACCGCAAACCGACACAGGUAGUCGAGGCGAGUAGCCUCAGGUGAGCGAGAGAACUCUCGUUAAGGAACUCGGCAAAAUGACCCCGUAACUUCGGGAGAAGGGGUGCUGACUUUAAGUCAGCCGCAGUGAAUAGGCCCAAGCAACUGUUUAUCAAAAACACAGCUCUCUGCUAAAUCGUAAGAUGAUGUAUAGGGGGUGACGCCUGCCCGGUGCUGGAAGGUUAAGAGGAGUGCUUAGCGUAAGCGAAGGUAUGAAUUGAAGCCCCAGUAAACGGCGGCCGUAACUAUAACGGUCCUAAGGUAGCGAAAUUCCUUGUCGGGUAAGUUCCGACCCGCACGAAAGGCGUAAUGAUUUGGGCACUGUCUCAACGAGAGACUCGGUGAAAUUUUAGUACCUGUGAAGAUGCAGGUUACCCGCGACAGGACGGAAAGACCCCAUGGAGCUUUACUGCAGUUUGAUAUUGAGUGUCUGUACCACAUGUACAGGAUAGGUAGGAGUCUAAGAGAUCGGGACGCCAGUUUCGAAGGAGACGCUGUUGGGAUACUACCCUUGUGUUAUGGCCACUCUAACCCAGAUAGGUGAUCCCUAUCGGAGACAGUGUCUGACGGGCAGUUUGACUGGGGCGGUCGCCUCCUAAAAGGUAACGGAGGCGCCCAAAGGUUCCCUCAGAAUGGUUGGAAAUCAUUCGCAGAGUGUAAAGGUAUAAGGGAGCUUGACUGCGAGAGCUACAACUCGAGCAGGGACGAAAGUCGGGCUUAGUGAUCCGGUGGUUCCGUAUGGAAGGGCCAUCGCUCAACGGAUAAAAGCUACCCUGGGGAUAACAGGCUUAUCUCCCCCAAGAGUUCACAUCGACGGGGAGGUUUGGCACCUCGAUGUCGGCUCGUCGCAUCCUGGGGCUGUAGUCGGUCCCAAGGGUUGGGCUGUUCGCCCAUUAAAGCGGCACGCGAGCUGGGUUCAGAACGUCGUGAGACAGUUCGGUCCCUAUCCGUCGCGGGCGUAGGAAAUUUGAGAGGAUCUGCUCCUAGUACGAGAGGACCAGAGUGGACUUACCGCUGGUGUACCAGUUGUCUUGCCAAAGGCAUCGCUGGGUAGCUAUGUAGGGAAGGGAUAAACGCUGAAAGCAUCUAAGUGUGAAACCCACCUCAAGAUGAGAUUUCCCAUGAUUAU
rnacentral:rRNA from 3 species